AAGCCAGAACUAUGGCAUCAAUGUGGUGCAGGGGCCAGAACUAUAGCAUCAAUGAGGUGCAGGAGCCAGAGCUAUGGCAUCAACAAGAUAGAGCCAGAAUUAUAACAUCAAUGAGGUGCAGGAGCCAGAACUAUGGCAUCAAUGCAAAGCCACCAUUUUUUUUUUUUAGAAUCCUACUUCAUACAUGGGAUAAUUCUUGGAGUUAUGUUAAACACUAAUGAACAACACUAUGCAAUUCAAGACUGACUGCAAACAACAAUAUUCAGCAAUAAAAUACAAAGAAACUUUGUCUCUUCAUGGACGUUAUUUUGUACAAAGUUCGAAAAUUUCUUGCUAAAAAAUUUUUUAAUAAUUUCAGAGUAAAAUAAAAUACAGUACCACUGUACUCAAAA